UGCAAAUAGUGGGUAACUAGUCUGGAAAACUCAGAAAGCGUGUGUUGUCAUCAGCUUCAUCCCUUGGUUCUUAACGGGACUGGAGUUAAAUAACAGCACAAAAUCU